rnacentral:rRNA from 1 species
CAGUCGCCACGGUAAUACGGAGGGGGCAAGCGUUAUCCGGAAUUAUUGGGCGUAAAGGGUACGUAGGUGGCCUUUUAAGCGUAGGGUAUAAGGCAAUGGCUCAACCAUUGUUCGCCCUAUGAACUGGAAGGCUUGAGUGCAGGAGAGGAAAGCGGAAUUCCUAGUGUAGCGGUGGAAUGCAUAGAUAUUAGGAGGAACAUCAGCGGCGAAGGCGACUUUCUGGACUGCAACUGACACUGAGGUACGAAAGCGUGGGGAGCAAACAGGAUUAGAUACCCGAGUAGUCCCUGUCUCUUAUACA